UUGUAGUAUGAAAGGAGAGAAGUUUAACACUCCCGUAAAUAAGGGUGGAACACAUAUAUAAAUGGUAAAGCACUGUCGCCUUUCGGCCGCACUUAGCAAAUUUUUUU